CGCAAAGAAACGCAAGGUUGCUCUUGCCGCCAUGGAAGAGGCCGAUAUCGAGAGGAUUUUGGAGCCGGACUUUACCGUCUCGUUACGCGCCGGCCCUCCGGGUGUGGUGAUUACUUCCGAACAAGAUAUUCCCGAAUGCUUCUGGACCCCGCAGGCCCCCAGACUCGACAAGGGCAGGCUGCUCGACGUGCUUAAAGUUGGGAAAGCCGUCACGGGCGCUGAGCUCGCUAAUAGCCGCAUCAACCUGAUGAUCAGAACGAAAUAGGACAUGAGCUUCACCGAUCGCCAGCUGCGCAAGCUUCGAGCCAAACUGCUCCAUCG
rnacentral:misc_RNA from 1 species